UACAGGGGGUGCAAACGUUGCUCGGAAUCAUUGGGCGUAAAGCGCACGUAGGCGGUUCGUUAUGUCGGAUGUGAAAGCCCUUGGCUUAACCGAGGAAGUGCAUCCGAAACUGGCGAGCUAGAGUACGAAAGAGGAUCGCGGAAUUUCCGGUGUAGCGGUGAAAUGCGUAGAUAUCGGAAGGAACACCAGUGGCGAAAGCGGCUUCCUGGUCCAGCACCGACGUUCAGGCACGAAAGCGUGGGGAGCAAACAGGG
rnacentral:rRNA from 1 species